AUUGCAUCCUUAAGCUCUCUGAAGCUGUUGUAAGUAACCAGAAUAAACUCUACCGUCUCCUAUAUUAUUAAAAAGGAAUACAUUCGCAUCCUUAAACUCUCUGAAGGUGUUAUCACUCCAAAAUAACCGAGUCUCAUUCAUUCACGAGGAAGGUUUCCAUCAGUUAGUCAACCUGAUAGAGCUGAAUCUAUCAAACAACAAGAUAGGAUUUAUCUCAUCUAAUACAUUCUACAGUCUAUGUCAGCUAAGAAAACUGUAAAGAACUCGCUUUCAAUCCAUUGCAAACCUUGAAAACAAAUAUCUUUCAGGACCUCUUCAGACUUAAAACUCUGU